GACGAACGCUGGCGGCGUGCUUAACACAUGCAAGUCGAGCGGUAAGGCUCCUUCGGGAGUACACGAGCGGCGAACGGGUGAGUAACACGUGAGCAAUCUGCCCUUCACUUCGGGAUAACUCCGGGAAACCGGAGCUAAUACCGAAUACGACCACUUCAGGCAUCUGAUGGUGGUGGAAAGUUCCGGCGGUGAAGGAUGAGCUCGCGGCCUAUCAGCUUGUUGGUGGGGGAACGGCCCACCAAGGCAACGACGGGUGGCCGGCCUGAGAGGGUGGCCGGACACACUGGGACUGAGACACGGCCCAGACUCCUACGGGAGGCAGCAGUAGGGAAUAUUGGUCAAUGGGGGCAACCCUGAACCAGCCAUGCCGCGUGCAGGAAGACUGCCCUAUGGGUUGUAAACUGCUUUUGUACGGGAAGAAAUCAAGCUACGUGUAGGUUGUUGACGGUACCGUGAGAAUAAGGAUCGGCUAACUUCGUGCCAGCAGCCGCCGUAAUAC
rnacentral:rRNA from 1 species